UACGUAGGGUGCAAGCGUUGUCCGGAAUUAUUGGGCGUAAAGAGCUCGUAGGCGGUUUGUCGCGUCUGCUGUGAAAACCCGAGGCUCAACCUCGGGCCUGCAGUGGGUACGGGCAGACUAGAGGUAGGUAGGGGAGAAUGGAAUUCCUGGUGUAGCGGUGAAAUGCGCAGAUAUCAGGAGGAACACCGGUGGCGAAGGCGGGUCUCUGGGCCGAAACUGACGCUGGAGGAGCGAAAGCGUGGGGAGCAAACAGG
rnacentral:rRNA from 1 species